rnacentral:ncRNA from 1 species
CGCGGGGGAUGACCUCCGCGCCUUUGCUUUUUCCGGGGACGACCCCC